rnacentral:rRNA from 1 species
UCCUACGGGAGGCAGCAGUAGGGAAUCUUCCGCAAUGGACGAAAGUCUGACGGAGCAACGCCGCGUGAGUGAUGAAGGCUUUCGGGUCGUAAAACUCUGUUGUUAGGGAAGAACAAGUGCUAGUUGAAUAAGCUGGCACCUUGACGGUACCUAACCAGAAAGCCACGGCUAACUACGUGCCAGCAGCCGCGGUAAUACGUAGGUGGCAAGCGUUAUCCGGAAUUAUUGGGCGUAAAGCGCGCGCAGGUGGUUUCUUAAGUCUGAUGUGAAAGCCCACGGCUCAACCGUGGAGGGUCAUUGGAAACUGGGAGACUUGAGUGCAGAAGAGGAAAGUGGAAUUCCAUGUGUAGCGGUGAAAUGCGUAGAGAUAUGGAGGAACACCAGUGGCGAAGGCGACUUUCUGGUCUGUAACUGACACUGAGGGACGAAAGCUAGGGGAGCAAACAGGAUUAGAUACCCUGGUAGUCCUAGCCCUAAACGUUGGGUACUUGGUGUGCCGUUCCAUGAGGACGGUGUGCCGGCGCUAACGCAUUAAGUACCCCGCCUGGGGAGUACGGCCGCAAGGCUGAAACUCAAAGGAAUU